rnacentral:rRNA from 1 species
GAUGAACGCUAGCUACAGGCUUAACACAUGCAAGUCGCGGGGCAGCAUGGGGGUUGCUUGCAAUCCCCGAUGGCGACCGGCGCACGGGUGAGUAACGCGUAUCCAACCUGCCCUUCACCACGGGAUAACCCGGCGAAAGUCGGACUAAUACCGUAUGUUGUCCAUUGACGGCAUCCGAUUUGGACGAAAGGUUUGGCGGUGACGGAUGGGGAUGCGUCCGAUUAGCUGGACGGCGGGGUGACGGCCCACCGUGGCGACGAUCGGUAGGGGUUCUGAGAGGAAGGUCCCCCACACUGGAACUGAGACACGGUCCAGACUCCUACGGGAGGCAGCAGUGAGGAAUAUUGGUCAAUGGGCGUAAGCCUGAACCAGCCAAGUAGCGUGCAGGAUGACGGCCCUAUGGGUUGUAAACUGCUUUUAUGCGGGGAUAAAGUGGCCCACGUGUGGGUUUUUGCAGGUACCGCAUGAAUAAGGACCGGCUAAUUCCGUG